rnacentral:rRNA from 1 species
CCUACGGGGGGCAGCAGUGGGGAAUAUUGCACAAUGGGCGAAAGCCUGAUGCAGCAACGCCGCGUGAAGGAAGACGGUUUUCGGAUUGUAAACUUCUAUCAAUAGGGAAGAAAGAAAUGACGGUACCUAAAUAAGAAGCCCCGGCUAACUACGUGCCAGCAGCCGCGGUAAUACGUAGGGGGCAAGCGUUAUCCGGAUUUACUGGGUGUAAAGGGAGCGUAGACGGUGCAGCAAGUCUGAUGUGAAAGGUCGGGGCCCAACCCCGGGACUGCAUUGGAAACUGUUGAACUGGAGUACAGGAGAGG